rnacentral:rRNA from 1 species
CAUCACUACGCUAGAUGCAUAUCAAUAAGCGGAGGAAAAGAAACCUAACAAGGAUUCCCCUAGUAACGGCGAGUGAAGCGGGAAGAGCUCAAAUUUGAAAUCUUAAAGGGUUUCCCUUUACGAAUUGUAGUUUAAAGAAGUGUUUUCUGUUGGAGUUUCGGUAAAAGUUCUUUGGAAUAGGACAUCAUAGAGGGUGAGGAUCCCGUAUUUGACUCAGUUACUUUCCAGCUGUGUGAUACACUUUCAAAGAGUCGGAUUGUUUGGGAAUGCAGUCCAAAAUGGGUGGUAAAUUUCAUCUAAAGCUAAAUAUUGGCGAGAGACCGAUAGCGAACAAGUACCGUGAGGGAAAGAUGAAAAGAACUUUGAAAAGAGAGUUAAACAGUACGUGAAAUUGUCAAAAGGGGAAGCGUUUGACACCAGUGUUGUUUAGUUGAAAAUCAAUUCAAUAAUUUUUGAUUUUAAGUAGUAUUGACUUCAUCAGCUUGCUGCUUUCUUUUCAGGAAUUAUUGAAUGCACUUUUCAGUUAACAAGUCAACAUCAAUUUCUUUUGUUGUAAAAGGGUAAGAGGAAGGUGGCUUACGCUUCGGCGUAAGUGUUUAUAGCCUUUUACCUCUGCAAUCGGAGAGAUUGAGGACAGCAGCGUAGACUCCUUCGGGGUUAGAUACACUUGUGCUAAGCUAUAGCCUUGUAUAGACAACUUGUUGACUAUGCUCAGUCAUGUAGCUUACUCGCUUGUGCUAUUUUACCUACGCUUAGGAUGUUGAAGAUAUGCGCGACACG